AUAAACAACCGGUAAGUUUUCUAUACAGAGAAACAUCAUCAAUAGGAGUCACUAAAGCGGAAAAAACUACGGUGGACCACUUACUUGGGUAGUGUAAGUUACACUACCUUUCAAAAUCAAUUUCUGGCCACAAUUAAAUAUGGAAAAAAUAAUUCUAAAGUCUAACUAUUUUGGGUGGCUGAAAAUUAACAUGGUAAGUUACUAUUUUAUCCUGUCAAAUAAAUAAAGUUUUAUUUAUAUCCCUCCUCCAUAAUACCAUUAUAUCCCUACCCCAUAUUACCAUUAUAUCCCCUUAUGUUUAGCCUCUCUCCUAACAUUACCAUUAUACCCCUCCUCCUUUACCCUCUCUUCCCAUCUCCAGUUCGAUGCCGCCUCCGUUGGAUAGCCUUGCAGGUCCUUCUCCCUUUCAUCUUCUUCCUCAUGGAACCCUUUGCCUGAACUACUGCCCGAGUUGGAGAACAGAGUGGGUUUUCAGAUUGGGUUUUCAUGGCUAGAUCUAAACGAGAGCGAAACCGAGCCCAGCAGAUCCAAGCCACUGCCAUGCCUGUGUUGUAGAUCUCACUGUCAAACCACCAGGGUCAUCGUUGGGGUCGUUUUCCACCACCAUUGCCUCAGGCCGUUCCAUCCCUCAUCUGGGUUUGUUUGUGUCUCUGUCCUUUUCACUCAUGGGAUUGCUUCGAAGGAGAAGAAUCAGAUGUGCACUGUGGUUCGAUGCCGCCUCCGAUGAAGACUAUAGUGUACUCCGAUGAAUUCUUCAAUCUCAGGUUCUCACCAUGACUCCGAUGAAGAGUAUGGUCGACUCCGAUGAAGAGUCUCACUCUCAAGUUCUCACAUGGCCUCCGAAAUAAGGGCCGCAGAAGAGGUUGCUCUACAAAGGCCAAGUAUCAUGACACUGAAGGAGCUGAAAUGAAACCAAGAAGAAGGAGAAUUGAUGUUGCACAAUCCGGAAGGGUUGAGAUUGAGAACCUUGGUCAUAUUGAGAUUCUUAUUUGUGCUCAAAUUUGUUAUAUACUACUUGUUACAAUUCUUUUCUCCUUGAUGAAUUGGAAAACCCCCUUUUAGUUAACAUGGUUAUUUUACUAAUUUGAUUGGUUAGUCCUUCUUUUCCCCUUCCUGUUUUCUGUUUUCAUUUUUUCUUUCUCUUAUGGGUCAACCAGUUACAAAAGGACCCUCUGUUAGUCAUUAUACCAAGCUGUUAUUUUCCUUAUAGGUUUAUUGGCUUAUAGUGCUAUAGCGUGGCAAAUGCAUAGUUGGUGCUAACUUCUGUUUUAAUAUUUUUUGCCGUCACUCCAAUCUCAUUUCUGUCGAUGAAUCUAUUAUAAUGUCAAAUUGGUCGUGUUUUAUACUUAACAGCUUUUCUGAUAUUUCAGUUGAUAUAUGCUCAUUUCAAAUGCAUCAUCUUUGUACAGCUAGUUUAGAUCUGGUUCACUUGCCAAUAUACUUCUGAUUCUAAUGAGGUGGUCAUCAUGGCAGGUUUCUUGUAUCUUUCUCUGGGAAGUAUCUGAAGUAUGAUUACUGUGUUCCUUCUCCACAUAACUGGUCUGAAGAUAAUAUUUUGUGUGUUUAUGACCUCAAACAGAAGAAUGUCUCUUUGGGCCUGCAUUUAUUGAGUGACAUUUUAUGUAAAUUUGGUGGAUGUUUUAGCUGUGAUCCUUCAAUUUACAUGGGUUGCAGCUUAUUGGUUUAGCACUUCCCCUGGCUGUUAAAACUCCAAGUAUAUUUUGAUGAGGUUUUUAAAAGAGAAUGAAUAUGACCUAACAAUAGCACUUCCGAUGAGGCCACCCUAGUGGAAGGUGUAUCCUUUUGGUCUUUUCAAUUUCAUGUCAAUCUUGAUAUCCAUUUUUUCUCCUUCAUUGUUCAAUAAAUUCAGGCUCCAUUUCGAUUUGAUCAGUGGAAUAUUAUUUACUUCUACAGGAUUGAUUUUAUGAUGUGUGUGAGAGUAAUGGCGGGUGAUUAUAUCCUUUCUUAACUUGGCCUCGCCGCGAUGGUCCGUGAUCGCGAUUUGAUAACACUGGCUACUGCUAUAAGUGGAUACACUAGCAACUCUGCUUCUGCCAAGAAGUGCAGAAAGAAGAAGGCGAUGGAGAUCCUUCCGCCGAGGCAUAGCUACUCGAGUUGGAGAUCGAGUUGUAAGCGGUGGAGUAGAGGUAUGAGAAGCAGCUUUGCUUCUCUUCUUGUGGAUUAUGUUGGAGUCUCUUUUACUUUAUGAGAACUAUGUUAUUAAAGUCUUGCUUCCGCCACUGUUAAAGUGCGCAUGUUUAUUCUGAACCUUACUUAUGGUGUUGUAAACUAUUAUACUAUAUAUCGGGAAACAGGUUAUUGAAAUAAAGUUAUGGUAUG